rnacentral:lncRNA from 10 species
AUGCCUUUCCAGCAAUACUUUUGUAUUCAUUUUCAUUUACGGAAUGGAAUAUUUUAUACAAUUUAAUAUAAAUGAAAACUAAUGAUUUAUAGCUACACACAAAAAUAUAGACCAAUCUAACAAGCAUAAUAUUGAAAACAAUUUACUGAAAGCUAAAAAUUGCAUUGUUUAUUGUUUUAUUUAAACGAAGUACUAAAGCAGAAUAGUUGUUGUCCUUGAUUGGGAGAGAAAGGAAUUGGUAAUGCCUGAAUUGGAAUAUGAGGAAUACUUUUGGAGUCCCAUGAUUUUUUUUUAAAUUUGAAUGCUGGCAAUGUGGAUGUGUUCAGUUUGUGAAAAAUUAUUGAGCUAUAAAUUUGUGAGGUGUGUACUUUUCUGUAUGCAUAUUUGUGCUCAAGGGAGUUUACUUAAAAUAUAUCUAGGAAUAAAUAAACACACAUAAGGACUAUACCUUGAAAACUAGAGUAUUGCUGAGAGAUUUUUAAAAAUCUAAUAAAUGAAGGAACUUUUUUUAUUUUUAAAAUGCCAUUUAUCUUAGCCCCUCUUUUUUUGCUAUAAAAGUAUACCUGAUGCUGAGUAAUUUAUAAAAAAAAAGAGGCUUAUUCAGGUCACUGUUUUGAGGGCUGUACAGGAAGCAUGGUGCCAGUAUCUGCUUGUGGCAAGAGCAUCAGGGUGCUUCCACUAGUGGUGGAAGGUAAAGGGAGCCAGUGUGUGCAGAGUACAUGGUGAGUGAGGAAGGAAGAAAGAGAGGAGAAGGUGCUAGGCUGUUUUUCAGUCAGUUAUCAUGGGAACUAAUAGAGUGAGAACUCACUCAUUACAAUGAGGACACAUGAAACUAUUCAUGAAGGAUUCGAUCUCAUGACCCAAACACAUCGCAUUAGGCUUCACCUCCAACAUUAGAGAUCAGAUUUCAACAUGAGAUUUGAACAGGACAUAUAACCAAAUUACAUCACCGUUUAUCUAUAGAUUUGAGGUAAUUCCAAGCAAAAGCCAAGUUGGGUAUAUUAAUAAUUUUAGGAAAUGGCUAACUUAUUCUAAAAUUUAUACGGAAAAGCAAAAAACUGAGAACAACCAAGGCAAUUCUGAAGAAGAAAACCAAAUGAAAAAACAGAUGUCAAAACUUAUUAUA